UUUGAUCAAUAACUAAAGUAAAGUAAUUCAUUACUUUUUGGAAGUAUUUUACCCAACACUAUUCAUGGACUUACUUUUCCUGAAAUUCCUUAGGACUCUGUCAGCCACAUUCUGUACGCUUUCUGAAUCAUUUCCUUUCAAUUUUCUACUUAAACACAGAUGUGCAGAUUUACACUGAUAGUCAGUUUUACUCAUGAGGAUAUUAGCAGCAGAUACGCCUGGCAUGACUUUGGCUUUCCAGAUGGAUUAACAUAGAUCUGCAGUACAGCAGUUAUGUGUGAUGAAGCAGAUGAAAACACCCAUCCAGGUGGUAUUGCAACAGAGCCAGCUUUUCACUUUACUAAAGCGCAGUGGGGCGACAGUGGCUCAGGUGGUUGAGCGGGUCGUCCAAUGAUCGAAGGGUUGGCGGUUCGAUCCCCGCUCCCUCCAGCCAACUGUCGUUGUGUCCUUGGGCAAGACACUUCACCCUCCUUGCCUCCAGUGUGGCUCCACUGGUGUAUGAAUGAUCCCGGUGAUGGUCAGAGGGGCCGUAGGCACGAAAUGGCAGCCACGCCUCUGUCAGUCUGCCCCAGGGCAGCUGUGGCUACAACCGUAGCUACCAUCACCAAGUAUGAAUGAGGAGUGAAUGAAUAAUGGACAUAAUGUAAGCGCUUUGGGUGUCUUGAAAAGCGCAGAUAAAUCCAAUCCAUUAUUAUUAUUAUUAUGUAAAUGUAAGUUAUCACAAUGCUGAUUGGUAUAUCAAGCAGACAUUAGCCCUCAUGUGCUGCUGACUUGUGUCCUGCUCGUCCUCUGCAAAAGCUCCAACCCCCCUUUCUUCCUGAAUAGCAUGUGUGCAGAAAAUGGAUGGGUUAAUGGGGGAAGCAUGGACAGGCAUCAUACAGUCCCAUCUUCCACGUCUCCCACAAGCAGACAAGCUGAUGGCUCAGAUAUGUCCUUCAAACCACUUUUCCAUUGUUCCUUAGGGAAUAACAUGCUGAGUUCAGGAUUGACUGAAACUACCAAGGCCUGGAACCGCCACAUAAGGCAAAGAAAGCAGCACAGAGACAGAGAUGGAUCCAGAGAACAUGACCUUGACAAAGAAAGCAUGAGAGAGAGAAACAGAGAAAAGCAGUCCUCCUCCUCACGCCACAGGAGGUCUUCCACGACACAUUCUCAUAAAUAUUCACGAGUGAAGGAGCAAACAAAGGCCAGGAGCUCCAAGGAUGAGAGCCACAGAUGCUGCAGCUUCAAAGACAUCAUGGGAGAAAACAGAAGGAAAGACAGAAGCUGGAAGCCUGACAGAGUUUCACACAGCAGCACUCAGAGAAGCUGCAGCAGGAAAUGUGAAGAUAAGACCAAGGUAAAAGAUGCAAAAAGAAGAAAAAACAAGACGUAA
rnacentral:lncRNA from 1 species